rnacentral:rRNA from 1 species
UGACGGUCCGAAAAUCUUUAGUUGUUUUUAGCGAUUGAGCAAUCACACGGGGUACGAAAUAACUCCGCCGUCGGCAGCAGUGGAGAAUAUUGGUCAAUAAGAUAAAAUCUUGAACCAGCGUUUUGCGAAAAUGAAAAAGAAUUUCUUGAAGGCUAAGAUAGCUGUAAAGUUUAAUCGUUUUUUUAAAUAAUGAUUGGUUAAAGAAUGAGAAUCCUGGGCUAACAACGUGCCAGCAGCUGCGGUAAUACGUUGACAGGAGAGCGUUAUUCGUCAUAACUGGGCGUAAAGAGCAGAUUAAGUCUUUAAAAAGUUACAUAAAAAAACUAAGUUUGAGCAAACUAACAUGUAAAAAUUUAAUAGUUGAGUAUUAAAAAGUUUCUAAUAUUUAUAAUUUUUAGAUAAAAUUUUUUAAAAUUAUCGAGAUUUCCGAUUACCACGGUAAGAAUCUUUUAAUACUGACCUUCAACUGCUAAAGUAUAGUCAUCAAAUAGGAUUGGAGACCCUAGUAGUCUAUACCCUGAAUUAAUGAGAAUUAAAUAUUGGUUUUUUUCCUGAUAUUUUAGUUAACGCGUAAUUUCUUCGCCUGGAGAGUACAGCUGCAAAGGUAAAACUUAAAGAGAUUGGCGGGGGUUUGUAUAAACGGUGAAGCAUGUGGUUUAAUUCGAUAAUACACGAGAAACCUUACCAGUAGAUUUUUUUAAAUAUGAAAAUAUGAAAUUAAAUUAACUAAGUUUAGAAAAUUGGUACUGCAUGGCUGUCGUCAGUUCGUGUUUUAAGAUUUAAUAUUAAGUUAUUAAACGAACGAAACCUCGAGAUUAAAGUUCUUAUUUUAUUUAUAGUGAGAUACUAUUGCCACUAGUUUUUAAUAUAUGUACUUUAUUUAAGAUUAGUAAAUUAUAAAUAAUAUUAUUUUUUUAAUAUAUAAACUAAUCUUUAAUUUAGAGAAGAAGUCAAGUCAUUAUGGUCUAAAUAUACUGGGCUACACAUGUGCUAUAAAGGUAAAUACAAUUGGAGGCGAUUAUUUAAGUAAAAGCUAAUCUAUAAAAAUUAUCUUAGUUCGGAUUAAAGAUUGAAAGUCAUCUUUAUGAAGCUGGAAUCGUUAGUAAUCGUAAAUUAGGACGAUACGGUGAAUUAUACAUCAAACUUUGUACACACCGCCCAUCACGUCCGAAGAAUCGAUGGGCAUGAAGAAACUAAUUUGUAGAUUUUUUAUUAAUAUUUUUAAAUAAAACAUCUUUAAUUAUUUUAAUUGUUUGUGGGUAAUUUGGAUGAAGUUGAAACAAGGUAAUGGUAGGGGAACCUGUUGUUGGAAUACAUA